GCCCGCCUAGCUCAAUCGGAUAGAGCGUCAGACUCUUAAAGCGGGUGAUCUGAAGGCUGCGAGUUCGACCCUCGCGGUGGGCU